rnacentral:lncRNA from 1 species
UGUAUUCCAUACAUCCGUGCUCUAUGAUCCAUCUUUAACAACCUAUGAGAACAAUUCUAUGUUAUAUUAACUAAUUUAAUGAGCUAUGGCUCGCAAUUCUAUAAACUCAUUUAAAUUAUGGAUGUAGUAACUAAUAAGUAGGAAGAAAUAUAGUAAAAAUAAUUCUAUAUUACCCUAAAUGAAACUCAAUUAAACCAUGGAUGUAAUAAUUAAUAGGUAGAAGGAAAA